rnacentral:rRNA from 1 species
AUUGAACGCUGGCGGCAUGCCUAACACAUGCAAGUCGAACGGCAGCACAGUAAAGAUUUCGGUCUUUAUGGGUGGCGAGUGGCGGACGGGUGAGUAAUGCGUAGGAAUCUGUCCUGGAGAGUGGGAUAACCCGAGGAAACUCGGGCUAAUACUGCAUGAUAUCGAGAGAUCAAAGGCAGGGGACCCUUCGGGGCCUUGCGCUCUAGGAUGAGCCUACGUCGGAUUAGCUAGUUGGUGGGGUAAAGGCCUACCAAGGCGACGAUCCGUAGCUGGUCUGAGAGGAUGACCAGCCACACUGGGACUGAGACACGGCCCAGACUCCUACGGGAGGCAGCAGUGGGGAAUCUUGGACAAUGGGGGAAACCCUGAUCCAGCGAUGCCGCGUGUGUGAAGAAGGCCUUCGGGUUGUAAAGCACUUUAGUUGGGGAAGAAAAGUAAUGAGUGAAUAACUGAUUGCUCUGACGGUACCCAAAGAAUAAGCACCGGCUAACUCUGUGCCAGCCGCCGCCGUAA